GACGAACGCUGGCGGCGUGCUUAACACAUGCAAGUCGAACGGAAAGGCCCUGCUUUUGUGGGGUGCUCGAGUGGCGAACGGGUGAGUAACACGUGGGUAACCUGCCCUUGACUUUGGGAUAACUUCAGGAAACUGGGGCUAAUACCGGAUAGGAGCUCCUGCUGCAUGGUGGGGGUUGGAAAGUUUCGGCGGUUGGGGAUGGACUCGCGGCUUAUCAGCUUGUUGGUGGGGUAGUGGCUUACCAAGGCUUUGACGGGUAGCCGGCCUGAGAGGGUGACCGGCCACAUUGGGACUGAGAUACGGCCCAGACUCCUACGGGAGGCAGCAGUGGGGAAUAUUGCACAAUGGGCGGAAGCCUGAUGCAGCAACGCCGCGUGCGGGAUGACGGCCUUCGGGUUGUAAACCGCUUUCGCCUGUGACGAAGCGUGAGUGACGGUAAUGGGUAAAGAAGCACCGGCUAGCUACGUG
rnacentral:rRNA from 1 species